GUGUAAAGCGGAGGAGCGAGCCCGAUUGGGCGAGAACCCUAGCCGCCAUCCCUGCCGCACCCCUCUCCUUCUCUCUUGCAGCGGCCACCAUGCUCUCGCAUCUCCCCUUCCACUCCCAACGCCGUGUUCGCCGCCACCGCUGCUCUCCCCGUUGCCCUCACGCUGCCAUGCCCGCCUCCUCCCCUGGACGCGGCGAGCACGAGGGACAAUGAUCCAUCCACAAUCUUCGUCGCACAUGGCGCCGUUAGCCGACCAGAUCGCCACCGCGUCGUCUCCUCCUGCGUCGACCUCAGAGCCGCCGCCGCCCUCUCCCCUUCCGAGCCCACACUCUUUUAUCUCUUCCUCGCCUCCUCUCCUCCCCUCGCGCCGACACCCACCAUUUCCAUCGGCCAACAACCAUUCCCAUGCCGUCUCUCAUCUCAAGCCGGCGGCUGCUGCUCUCACGAGUGGCAGUUGCAGCCCCGCCCCUCCCCUGCCGUCCAUAGACGGAGACGUAGCAAUGGAGGCAUACGCCACCGGCACGCCACUGACUCGAUCUAGGAGCAGUGAGAACUGCAGCGCCAGAGAGGAUGCCAGGACAAGGACGGAGGAGAAUGAGCUGCACAUUUGGAUGAAGGUCUCAAAUCCUCUAUGGUGCCAUGACAUGGACGUCGUCUUGGCCGCCGGCGUGUUGUCGAAGGAGGUAUUUUUUUCUGGUCCCUUGCUUGGCCCUCUACUAUCUUUGCCUAGAUAUGAUGAUUUUCUAGGGAGAAUGAAAUCAUAUUAUUAACUUAUUUUGUUUUAGGGAGAUGCAUUAAUUUGAUUUUUUAUUGCAUGAUUCUUUCUGACGAUCCUGGCAUUGUUGCAUAUGAAUCUUCAUUUUUGGAAGCGGCUGGCUGCAAAGAUUUCGUGGAUGCUAUAUUCUUGGGUGAGGUGUUGAGAAAGUAAAGCUUUCAGUGAAGUUGUCAUAGUGUUAAGUUCCUAACCUGAAAUGUGGAGGUCGUGCAUUAACAUGCUAACAUCUUUUGUACUUUUGGUGUAGAGGUAUCCAUCACUCUCAAGGGUGAGGCAUUGUAACUGUUGCUUUGCAGAGCAACGUUAGACUAGCCACAAUGGAGAAUAACAUACACUAGUAAUAUACACAUAUCCCUAGAUUAUGUUACUACCUUCAUAGUGGGUAGUAACAUAUGUGUGGUGUCAUGCAAAGCUCGAUUUAUUAGGUUCUAUACUCAUAUUGCAUUGGGAUAUGUGAUGUUACAGUAACUAGCUAAGUUACUAGAACUACCUCUCUCUUCAUUAACUCUUUGCCACAUAGACAAAUUUGCUGAGUUGGACUUGAAGUUACUGCUGAAGUUACUCCCACUGUGGCUAGUCUUAGAGGUUAUGAUCGCCAAUGCCCUGCGUUUGGUAACUGCAUGGACAGAAAAAAUAUGGGCUAUUUAUGGCACUUUUGACAUGAUUUGUUGUUGCUGAAUCGACAUAUACAAUGUGUUCAACUAAAUGUAUGUGGCUGUUUAUCUCCUUCAGGUAUGAAAUAAAUUAACUGUUUUCUGGGAUAGCUGGUCUACAUGCUUUCACAGCGGGAAAGGUCUUCGGUAUCUUUAAAAUGAAAGAUAUUCUACAUGCAUUUACUCUUUCUGGAUUUUCACAUUUCGGAUAUCCAAAUCGUAUUCGCACUCAUGGAUUUCCAGCAUUAAUAACUGUUUGUAUUCUAUUUUACAGAUAUAACCAGAUGCAUAACUUCAGGAACUUUAAGAACUAAGAUAGCAUCAUUAUAUGUAAGGAUCACUGCGGCCUCUGGUUCGGCUUCUCGACCGGCGGCAGCCUCUGGGCGUGGACAACUUGCGUGUCGUCGUCGUAAAUAAGAUGGAAAACUUUACAGGGGAUUCUUUGCUUGAAGCUACUUUGCUUGAUUACUUUGGAUCUUAAGAGCACACAGACUGUAAAUAAGAAGAUGGCAAGAGAGAUGCAGCAUUGCGAGAUUAAUUUGGUAGUUCUGCACCUUUACCCCUGCUGCUUUCCAGGGGAUUCUUAAUGAAUGGCUCUACACAAGUGAAACCAGCUGAGUCUAUCGUUUGGAGAAAAAACUAUACUUGCUGGGAAGAUGAGCUGAAGUAGAAGAGUAGCAUGGAUGUGCCUUGGUGCGUUCUAACAUCUAUUUGUCCUAAGCAUUUUGCUAAAUGACCACAUGUAAUUAAGUGAGAUUGAUUUAUUCAUAGGUACUCAAUGUUGACUUGGUUGUUGAUAAAAUGAUCUAUGUAUUGUUUGAUGUUA